GACGAACGCUGGCGGCGUGCCUAAUACAUGCAAGUUGAGCGCUGAAGGUUGGUACUUGUACCAACUGGAUGAGCAGCGAACGGGUGAGUAACGCGUGGGGAAUCUGCCUUUGAGCGGGGGACAACAUUUGGAAACGAAUGCUAAUACCGCAUAAAAACUUUAAACACAAGUUUUAAGUUUGAAAGAUGCAAUUGCAUCACUCAAAGAUGAUCCCGCGUUGUAUUAGCUAGUUGGUGAGGUAAAGGCUCACCAAGGCGAUGAUACAUAGCCGACCUGAGAGGGUGAUCGGCCACAUUGGGACUGAGACACGGCCCAAACUCCUACGGGAGGCAGCAGUAGGGAAUCUUCGGCAAUGGACGAAAGUCUGACCGAGAAACGCCGCGUGAGUGAAGAAGGUUUUCGGAUCGUAAAACUCUGUUGGUAGAGAAGAACGUUGGUGAGAGUGGAAAGCUCAUCAAGUGACGGUAACUACACAGAAAGGGACGGCUAACUACGUG
rnacentral:rRNA from 1 species